rnacentral:lncRNA from 1 species
AACUUUUAUUGAACAAAACCUCAGAACUCAAUGGGGAAUUACAAAAGAAUCAACCAAAAAGGUUUAGCCUUCCAUGCGGAGGCAAAACAAAAGAAUUACUAAGAAGAAAAUAAACUAAGAAAACCCUACGAAGCUCUCUCUUUUCUCCUUGAUGCUUGUGUCCUUUUAUAGGCUUUUCUGCUCCAAGGAUCUUGAGAGAAUAUUGUAGUGUAUAUUUUGUUAACCGUUUCCAAGUUUCUAUCUUUCCAUAAUUCUUGUAUUUUGCAGAAGAUUUGCUUCCAAUUCUGUUUCUGAGAUAUUGUAGAUUUUAUUUUCUCUUUCUUCUCCUCAGAAUUUGUUUCCUGUUUUGGUUCAAGAAGCAACUUGGACUUUUGCAUAUUUG